rnacentral:lncRNA from 1 species
UUUCAGCUGUGCUUUAAAACAAAAAAAGGAAGGGAGUUUUGGGUUUUUUGGCAGCCUCUGUUUUCGGUGAUCGGACCACCGUUCGUCCGUCGCCGGUGACCGCCGUGCACAGCGGCUGGAGGUGCUAAACGGAUCCCUUUUUAACCCUUUCACUCUCCUUACCUAAAAUCUAAACCCCAAACACGCAAAAACCUCCUAGCAAGUCGGAGAAAGCCAAAGGAACCUUCCGAUUUCGACUUCCCCAACUCGACAUAGGUAAGACCGAUCGUAUUCCUCUCUUUUUUUAUGUAUGUACACAAACUAUACUGAAUAAAUUCGUAAAAGGUGUAAGAACAGAACGAAAGACCACCUUUUUGGCUGAAUAUUCUUCGAUUUUUUUUAUUUGCUUUUUUGUAACGUAAAAAAAAACAUUGUUUUUUCGAGGCUCUCUUAUAGCCGAAUACAAAGGCCUUCUUUUACUGUUUGUUACUGUUUUGUUAUGCUUUGCUUCUUUUCUUUCUUUUUGUUUCUGUUUUGCAGGCCUAGGCGAAGUCAACGGGGGCGGGUUCUUUCCUUUUUAGUGCAACGGGAAAAGGGGAACCAGGCCUCGAGCGUUGGGCGUGCCGAUGAAGCACGUGGGAGGUGUACGGCGCCAGAGGGAAACUAGGGUUUCCUAGUUUGCCAAAAAAUGGCUUGAGUUUUGGGCCAAUCGGGCCAUCAGAAAAUUUGGGUUAGGGGUUUAAGUUAAUGGGUUUGUAAUUGGGUUUUGGAAAUAUGGGCCGAUUUAACUUUGUAACUGGACAUUUAAUGGUCUUGGGACUUUAUUUGGUUAUUUUUUGGUUUCUAAUGGGCCGGGCAAAAUAGGGCUCUUACAAUCACCAUUACAAGAUAACUGUUCUUAAUCAAUUUUUAUUAACUCGUG